GACGAACGCUGGCGGCGUGCCUAAUACAUGCAAGUCGAGCGGACGAAUCGAAAGCUUGCUUUUGAUUCGUUAGCGGCGGACGGGUGAGUAACACGUGGGCAACCUGCCCUGUAGACGGGGAUAACACCGAGAAAUCGGUGCUAAUACCGGAUAACACGAAAUGUCGCAUGACGUUUCGUUGAAAGACGGCGCAAGCUGUCGCUACAGGAUGGGCCCGCGGCGCAUUAGCUAGUUGGUGAGGUAACGGCUCACCAAGGCGACGAUGCGUAGCCGACCUGAGGGGGUGAUCGGCCACACUGGGACUGAGACACGGCCCAGACUCCUACGGGAGGCAGCAGUAGGGAAUCGUCCGCAAUGGACGGAAGUCUGACGGAGCAACGCCGCGUGAGCGAAGAAGGCCUUCGGGUCGUAAAGCUCUGUUGUUAGGGAAGAACAAGUAACGCAGUAACUGGCGUUACCGUGACGGUACCUAACGAGAAAGCCACGGCUAACUACGUG
rnacentral:rRNA from 1 species